UACGGGGGGAGCAAGCGUUGUUCGGAUUUACUGGGCGUAAAGGGCGCGUAGGCGGCCACUGCAAGUCGGUUGUGAAAUCUCCGGGCUUAACCCGGAAAGGUCAAUCGAUACUGCAGGGCUAGAGUGCAGAAGGGGCAACUGGAAUUCUCGGUGUAGCGGUGAAAUGCGCAGAUAUCAGGAGGAACACCGGUGGCGAAGGCGGUUCUCUGGGCAUUACCUGACGCUGAGGAGCGAAAAGUGUGGGGAGCGAACAGG
rnacentral:rRNA from 1 species